AUAAUCUCUCUCUGCUGUAGAGAUUAACUGAGUUUGUAAAGCAUAUGUUAACUGUCUGGCACAGUGCUCUGCCCCUGAGGUUUUGUAAAUGCGGAAUACCACCUACUGUCUUGCUGGAAUGGUAAUUGUUCUUGGUUCUCAGUGGACCAAGGUUUCUGGAUCAGUGACUUGAAAGAAAAUCAUAUGGGAGCUUUUUGUCCAGGUUUUUAUUUAAAUGGGUCAGUUAGAGCUUCUCUGCCCAAUAUCUACUGUCUAAAAGAAUUCUUGUAAGUGCCGUCACUGACGCUUCAUUCACAGUAGAUAUAAAGACUAUACAGCUUUGCCUUCUGGUUUCUUCGUAUUCUUUUACUCUUUUGUGUGAAAUAUUAUUCCAAGUAAUUGACUGCUACAGAUUUCACUGCCUUAAGGGCCAACUCUAUACUUGCUUCUUACUAGACUGGGUAUCUCUGCAAUGCAUUCAUGUAUUUAGGACCUUUGGGUUAUGUGCCUCCGUGAUAAGUAAUCCCUAAUUGCUUGCUCUCGCCUUAUGGAUGGCAUCUUGGUUCUGAGAACCUUGUAGGGUGGGAUACCUGGGUUAUAACAGGAAAAGGAAGAGUGAGGAGAAAGGCCUGGAUUGAGUGGAAGCAGUUUCUCCCAUCAUUGGGAUUCAUUCUCAGGACCCCUGACAUCUUCAGGGGCAGCCACAUGGGGGAUGUUGCCAAGAUCCUGUAGUUAGAGCAAAGAAUAAAAUUUAUCUCUUAAAGUGAUGUUUAGGUUGACAGAGCAUUAUAUAAGCCAGAUAAAAAUCCCUGCCCUCAUAGCACUUACUUUGGUGUAGACCCUAACAAGCAGCAACUUAAAAAUGGAGUGUGUGGGAUGGACUUAGUCCAGGUGCUUCGGGGAAGAUGAGUGGGGAUGAAGGAUACGGAGCGCAGUUACGUUUGCAGGAUAGUUUGUUAUUUACAUUCAAUUAGAUUCAUUACUGUUAGAUCUGUGGGGAAUGCAUUCCAAGGCUGCUAGUGGGUAGUGCUGAGUGUUUGGCAGUAUAUUCUGUUUCCUGUAUAUGUAUAUCUAUGGUGAAGAUUAUAUAAGACAUUGCAAAAAGGCGACCAAAAACAAUUAUAGUAGUAUACCUUAAUAAAAUUAUUUGAAAGAUUUC
rnacentral:lncRNA from 1 species